rnacentral:rRNA from 1 species
UACGGAGGGUGCAAGCGUUAUCCGGAUUCACUGGGUUUAAAGGGUGCGUAGGAGGGCAGGUAAGUCAGUGGUGAAAUCUCCGAGCUUAACUUGGAACUGCCGUUGAUACUAUCUGUCUUGAAUAUUGUGGAGGUGAGCGGAAUAUGUCAUGUAGCGGUGAAAAUGCUUAGAUAUGACAUAGAACACCAAUUGCGAAGGCAGCUCGCUACACAUAUAUUGACUCUGAGGCACGAAAGCGUGGGGAUCAAACAGG